GAUGAACGCUGGCGGUGUGCCUAAUACAUGCAAGUCGAGCGAACAGACGAGGAGCUUACUCCUCUGACGUUAGCGGCGGACGGGUGAGUAACACGUGGAUAACCUACCUAUAAGACUGGGAUAACUUCGGGAAACCGGAGCUAAUACCGGAUAACAUGUUGAACCGCAUGGUUCAACAGUGAAAGACGGUCUUGCUGUCACUUAUAGAUGGAUCCGCGUCGCAUUAGCUAGUUGGUAAGGUAACGGCUUACCAAGGCAACGAUGCGUAGCCGACCUGAGAGGGUGAUAGGCCACACUGGAACUGAGACACGGUCCAGACUCCUACGGGAGGCAGCAGUAGGGAAUCUGCCGCAAUGGGCGAAAGCCUGACGGAGCAACGCCGCGUGAGUGAAGAAGGUCUUCGGAUCGUAAAACUCUGUUAUUAGGGAAGAACAAAUGUGUAAGUAACUAUGCACGUCUUGACGGUACCUAAUCAGAAAGCCACGGCUAACUACGUG
rnacentral:rRNA from 1 species